rnacentral:rRNA from 1 species
AACGAACGCUGGCGGCAUGCCUAAUACAUGCAAGUCGAACGAGACCUUCGGGUCUAGUGGCGCACGGGUGCGUAACGCGUGGGAAUCUGCCCAAAGGUUCGGAAUAACUCCUCGAAAGGGGUGCUAAUACCGGAUGAUGUCGCAAGACCAAAGAUUUAUCGCCUUUGGAUGAGCCCGCGUAGGAUUAGCUAGUUGGUGGGGUAAAGGCCUACCACGGCGACGAUCCUUAGAUGGUCUGAGAGGAUGAUCAGCCACACUGGGACUGAGACACGGCCCAGACUCCUACGGGAGGCAGCAGUAGGGAAUAUUGGACAAUGGGCGAAAGCCUGAUCCAGCAAUGCCGCGUGAGCGAUGAAGGCCUUAGGGUUGUAAAGCUCUUUUACCCGGGAUGAUAAUGACAGUACCGGGAGAAUAAGCCCCGGCUAACUCCGUGCCAGCCGCCGCUGUAACAC